CUCAGAUUCAGAUCAGUGUGUUCAACUGUAAUGGCGAAACACUGUUGGUCAAAGUGAAACGCCAGCAAAGGGACAGAAGAAGAAAUCAGAACAACAGAAACAGGCAGUGUGCAGAAGUUCUACUAGAGACGAACGAGGAACAGCGAUGGAGAAGAACCACAGCAGAGAUUUCUUUGCAUGGACGGACAAUGAUGUGGAACUGUUACUGAAAGUAACAGGGGAGUACAAAGAGACUGUGACUGUGGCUGCACGAACAAAGUCUCCAGCUUCUGCUCCAAAACAGCAACACAGAACCAAUUUAGAAACCAGCCGACAUGAAAGAGUCCCAUUAAAACCCAGCAGACGCCUCACGGCAGGAGGCCGCCACCGCUUCACUGAGCGUGUGCAGACGUGCUGCAGGAUCU